AUACGGAGGGGGCUAGCGUUGUUCGGAAUUACUGGGCGUAAAGCGCGCGUAGGCGGACCUGCAAGUCGGGGGUGAAAGCCCGAGGCUCAACCUCGGAACUGCCUUCGAUACUGCGGGUCUUGAGUCCGGGAGAGGUGAGUGGAAUUCCUAGUGUAGAGGUGAAAUUCGUAGAUAUUAGGAAGAACACCAGUGGCGAAGGCGGCUCACUGGCCCGGUACUGACGCUGAGGCGCGAAAGCGUGGGGAGCAAACAGGAUUAGAAACCCGAGUAGUCC
rnacentral:rRNA from 1 species